rnacentral:rRNA from 1 species
ACGCUGGCGGCGUGCCUAACACAUGCAAGUCGAACGGAGCUUUGAGAGCUUGCUCUUAAAGCUUAGUGGCGAACGGGUGAGUAACGCGUGAGCAACCUGCCUUUCAGAGGGGGACAACAGUUGGAAACGAUGAUUAAAACCUCAUAAUGCCAGACUGAGACAUCUCUAACUGGCCAAAGAUUUAUCGGCAAAGGAUGGGCCUGCGUCUGAUUAGCUAGUUGGUGGGGUAACGGCCUACCAAGGCGACGAUCAGUAGCCGGUCUGAGAGGUUGAACGGCCACAUUGGAACUGAGAUACGGUCCAGACUCCUACGGGAGGCAGCAGUGGGGAAUAUUGGGCAAUGGGCGAAAGCCUGACCCAGCGACGCCGCGUGAGGGAAGAAGAUCUUCGGAUUGUAAACCUUAGUCAACAGGGAAGAAGAAAGUGACGGUACCUGUGGAGGAAGCCACGGCUAACUACGUG